rnacentral:rRNA from 1 species
UGCAGUCGAGCGAAUGGAUUGAGAGCUUGCUCUCAAGAAGUUAGCGGCGGACGGGUGAGUAACACGUGGGUAACCUGCCCAUAAGACUGGGAUAACUCCGGGAAACCGGGGCUAAUACCGGAUAAUAUUUUGAACCGCAUGGUUCGAAAUUGAAAGGCGGCUUCGGCUGUCACUUAUGGAUGGACCCGCGUCGCAUUAGCUAGUUGGUGAGGUAACGGCUCACCAAGGCAACGAUGCGUAGCCGACCUGAGAGGGUGAUCGGCCACACUGGGACUGAGACACGGCCCAGACUCCUACGGGAGGCAGCAGUAGGGAAUCUUCCGCAAUGGACGAAAGUCUGACGGAGCAACGCCGCGUGAGUGAUGAAGGCUUUCGGGUCGUAAAACUCUGUUGUUAGGGAAGAACAAGUGCUAGUUGAAUAAGCUGGCACCUUGACGGUACCUAACCAGAAAGCCACGGCUU